UCUAAACCCAGAUUCAACGCACAAAACCCACCCCUUUCGCCUCCGCCUCCAAAAUUGAAGGGGAAAAACGCCAAAAACCCAGCCCGCAGCCGGCCGGCCGCUGAGUCGUCUUCCGUUCCUUACGAGCUUCUUUCAACGCAUCUGCACAGCAGCACAAGUAAAGCAAGGAGAGGAAGAGGGGGAGCUGGGAAACGAAUACCUUGUUCGGCGUGUUGGGUAGUGCAUCCUAAGCUAGAUUUAGCAACCAUACUUUUUGCUGUUAGGACUUAUCCACUGGUGGUGAUUGGAAAGGCAAGGCAACAUCAUUCACAAGGGAGAGGAGAAAACAACUUUUCCCUGUUGUCUUCUUUAUGUGCUGCUGUUUACAAUCAUUCACGAGGGAGGGGAGAAAACAACUUUUCCCUGUUGUCUUCUUUAUCUGCUGCUGUUUACAAGAAUUUUCGUGUUAUCUUAUUUAGAAGAAUCAAGAUUAUUUAAGAAAAAACAAGUUAUUGAUCAAGAGGGAGAAAAACCAAAUGGGAGAAAACCAAGCUGCUCGUUUUAGGGGAGGAGCAGAAAAGCAUGCAGCGGAUGUAGGUGACGUUAGGAUAAGAAUGCGACGUCCUGGGGGUGAUGGUGCGGGUACGUGUGGCACCGUCUAGCAGUCGUUCAACAAGUUGGACACGUUACAGUGCGGAUAGUGUGGGUACGGGUGGAAGUGUGGUACCGUCGAUGCCAUACAGUGCCGAUAGUGCAGGUACAGGUAGAAGCGCGGCACCGUCUAGCAGUCGUGCAAUAAGUUGGGCAGGUUACAGUGUGGAUAGUAUGGGUACGGGUGGGACUGCGGCACCGUCUAGCAGUCAUGCAACAAGUUGGAUGCGUUACAGUGCAGGUGAGGGUGGGAGUUCGGCACCAACUAGCAGUCGUGCGAUAAGUUGGACGCAUGCGAGUGCGGGUAUGAUACGCUGCAGUUGUCUUUUGUGCUGUCGUUACCAAAAAUAACAAUAAUAGAAAAGUAAUAAAAUAUGGUGGAAAGUCCCCACCACAAAGGCAAAGUCAUCCGUGCCUAUAUAAAUAAGCGCUUCGACCGGGCGACCCCAAUUGUCGUGUAUCUUUGGUGAGCAAGUGUGGAGUGGUGCAUGCUUGUGCUGGGGCAUUUUUAUGAAAAGCUCAUUCGGGUGACCUUCUUUAAUGACUGUUCUUCUUUUUUUUUCUUUUUUUUAAGUAGUUCGUUUGUUGUUGACAUGUUGUAAGCAUUUCUUUAAUCAAAAGUGGUUGAUCAA